CCCUACCUCCUUACCCCACCACCCUUCCAAAUUAACACCCUUUCUUUCUCUCUCAUAAGAAAACAAACAAGCAUGGGGGUAAAGAAAUAAUACAGAUUUGAGAUCAAGUGGCCAAGAGCAAGACUAUGAUCUAUCGACUUGGGAAAUAUUCAGAAAAUUGGACGAUCUCAGAUGUGACUUUUGAAAACUGAGUGCUGCAAAGAAGCUAUGGGGAAUCCCAGAGCCCGGGCAGGAAUCACUUGACUAGACUAUGCUUGGCACUGGUGUCAACUGUUAUUCCUGCUUCCCUGCUCCUCACAACUGCCUGCCUCAGUUUCCAAACUGGUGCAUCAGGCCCCCGGUGACCGCAAAGCUCCCAAGAGUCUGUGCGUGACCUGUUGCUCUGACAGGUCCUCUGCCUCGUGCGGAUGCUGUCUGCCACACAAGCACGUCACACAGAAAAUAAAGAUUUGUGACAAUGGGACAAACCCAGGGUAUGCUCCCACCACCUAGACUAGCGAUAGCUGUCCUGACUGGCCGGUCUCAGUCCACCUGCACCCCCGGUGGGCAGGGGCUUUGCCUAUAUUUUUAUGCCUGUUGGCAUAAAAUUAGAUUGCUCCUAACCUGUACUAUCAGAAAGUGAGCUAGGAUUAAAUGCUUUGCAAUCUU